rnacentral:rRNA from 1 species
GGCGCACUAAACCCAAAGGCGAAAUGAAAGUGACAGAAAGGGGAAGGGCCCCUCCUGCCGCAAGGCAAGGAACCCUUCCCCUGGGGCUGAUCCCUGGCUGAAAGUCGACCGUGGAGUGUCUGAGGGGGGCGGGAGCCGGUGAGCCAUUUUCCCAGCUCUUUGUCGCCCUUGGGCUUACGUCCGCGUGUCGGCAGUGGCCCACGCCCGCAAACUAUGUGAAAGGGGGGGCGCAAGCCCGGGACUUGCCACCAGUGCACCUCUCGGCGUCCGCGACUGGCCUUUCGGGGCCUUUCCGCGUGGGCCGAGUUGGUAGCCGGCAAGUACCUUGAGCAGACAUGUUGGGACCCGAAAGAUGGUGAACUAUGCUUGGCCAGGACGAACCCAGAGGAAACUCUGGUGGAGGUCCGCCGCGAUUCUGACGUGCAAAUCGAUCGUCGGAGCUGAGUAUA